rnacentral:pre_miRNA from 1 species
UUUGAGGGGAAUGUUGUCUGGCUCGAGGCCACUAUAAACUCUAGAUCUAUGAUUUUAUUCAUCUGACUUUGUUCUUCACAUUUCCGAGAUUUGUCAUCGUCGAUUAUUAGAUUUAGCGACGUCGGACCAGGCUUCAUUCCCCCCAAU